rnacentral:tRNA from 1 species
CCCUGUGUGGCCCAAAUGGUUAAGCACUUGAUUGCUAAACAGAAGGUUGGUGGUUUGAACCCACCCAGAGGUG